CUGGCGGCAUGCUUUCACAUGCAAGUCGAACGGCAGCAUAGGUGCUUGCACCUGAUGGCGAGUGGCGAACGGGUGAGUAAUGUAUCGGAACAUGUCCGGAAGUGGGGGAUAACGUAGCGAAAGUUACGCUAAUACCGCAUACGCCCUGAGGGGGAAAGGGAGGGGAUCAGCAAUGACCUUUCGCUUACGGAGUGGCCGAUAUCAGAUUAGCUAGUUGGUGAGGUAAGGGCUCACCAAGGCAUCGAUCUGUAGCGGGUCUGAGAGGAUGAUCCGCCACACUGGAACUGAGACACGGUCCAGACUCCUACGGGAGGCAGCAGUGGGGAAUUUUGGACAAUGGGGGCAACCCUGAUCCAGCCAUGCCGCGUGAGUGAAGAAGGCCUUCGGGUUGUAAAGCUCUUUCAGUUGGGAAGAAAACGUACUUGCUAAUACUAAGUAUACAUGACGGUACCAACAGAAGAAGCACCGGCUAACUACGUGCCAGCAGCCGCGGUAAUACGUAGGGUGCGAGCGUUAAUCGGAAUUACUGGGCGUAAAGGGUGCGCAGGCGGCUUUGCAAGACAGAUGUGAAAUCCCCGGGCUCAACCUGGGAACUGCAUUUGUGACUGCAGGGCUAGAGUACGGCAGAGGGGGGUAGAAUUCCACGUGUAGCAGUGAAAUGCGUAGAUAUGUGGAGGAAUACCGAUGGCGAAGGCAGCCCCCUGGGUCGAUACUGACGCUCAUGCACGAAAGCGUGGGGAGCAAACAGGAUUAGAUACCCUGGUAGUCCACGCCCUAAACGAUGUCAACUAGGUGUUGGGGAAGGAGACUUCUUUAGUACCGCAGCUAACGCGUGAAGUUGACCGCCUGGGGAGUACGGCCGC
rnacentral:rRNA from 1 species